rnacentral:rRNA from 1 species
GACGAACGCUGGCGGCGUGCUUAACACAUGCAAGUCGAGCGGGAUCCAACCGGUGGCAACACCGGGGAAGAUCUAGCGGCGAACGGGUGAGUAACACGUGAGCAACCUGCCCCGAAGACUGGGAUAACACCGGGAAACCGGUGCUAAUACCGGAUAUCCCCAUUAGGCCGCAUGACCUGAUGGGGAAAGGAUUUAUCGCUUCGGGAGGGGCUCGCGGGCUAUCAGCUUGUUGGUGGGGUAACGGCCUACCAAGGCGACGACGGCUAGCUGGUCUGAGAGGACGACCAGCCACACUGGGACUGAGACACGGCCCAGACUCCUACGGGAGGCAGCAGUGGGGAAUCUUGCGCAAUGGGCGAAAGCCUGACGCAGCAACGCCGCGUGGGGA